rnacentral:rRNA from 1 species
GUGUCAGGCGGGCAGUUUGACUGGGGCGGUCGCCUCCUAAAGAGUAACGGAGGCGCUCAAAGGUUCCCUCAGAAUGGUUGGAAAUCAUUCAUAGAGUGUAAAGGCAUAAGGGAGCUUGACUGCGAGACCUACAAGUCGAGCAGGGUCGAAAGACGGACUUAGUGAUCCGGUGGUUCCGCAUGGAAGGGCCAUCGCUCAACGGAUAAAAGCUACCCCGGGGAUAACAGGCUUAUCUCCCCCAAGAGUUCACAUCGACGGGGAGGUUUGGCACCUCGAUGUCGGCUCAUCGCAUCCUGGGGCUGUAGUCGGUCCCAAGGGUUGGGCUGUUCGCCCAUUAAAGCGGUACGCGAGCUGGGUUCAGAACGUCGUGAGACAGUUCGGUCCCUAUCCGUCGUGGGCGUAGGAAAUUUGAGAGGAGCUGUCCUUAGUACGAGAGGACCGGGAUGGACAUACCUCUGGUGUACCAGUUGUCGUGCCAACGGCAUAGCUGGGUAGCUAUGUAUGGACGGGAUAAGUGCUGAAAGCAUCUAAGCAUGAAGCCCCCCUCGAGAUGAGAUUUCCCAACUUC